rnacentral:misc_RNA from 1 species
CUUCUAAUAUGAUAGAAGCACAGCUCAGAGUAGGGGCUGCAAGAGGUCUAGUUAAAUUUCUGCUAUGAAACUGCCCUCAAUGUUUCAAGAAGACAUCACCAGUGGUGAUCCAUAUCCAUUCCUAUGCGACUUUUGCCAUCUCCAUGCAGUCUUCAAGCUCUGCUGGAGAUCAAUGUGCUGUGCUGUCCAGUUCAGCUCAAGCCUAAUCUUUGUUGGGUCACUGAAAACUUCAGCAUAGUCACCAGGUCGGCGAGGUAAAUAGUCAACUUAUCGACUUUGAUGUUCACACCGGUUGCCUUCUUACAUGCCUCCACAAAUUCCUUGACAGAACUACCUUUUCCAGUGCCAACGUUGUAGAUCCCAACUUUACCAGGCAUUGACUUUUCAAGGGCUUUCACGUGAGCAUCAACAAGAUCAGUAACAUCAAUAUAAUCUCGAAUACAAGUGCCAUCAUGUGUCUUGUAAUCUGUUCCUUUAACCUUCAAGCCAGGAACAAUACCGCGAGCUGCAUCAAAACAAGCACCAGAAAUUCUCCCAUGCUCACGCAGUUCGGGUCUGGGAGCCUCACCCAGUCUGCCAUCUGGAUCUGAACCAAUCACAUUGAAGUAUCUUAGAAUCAUAACUGCCAUGUCAGAAUUUUUAGA